AGUGAACGCUGGCGGUAGGCCUAACACAUGCAAGUCGAACGGCAGCACAGUAAGAGCUUGCUCUUACGGGUGGCGAGUGGCGGACGGGUGAGGAAUACAUCGGAAUCUACUUUUUCAUGGGGGAUAACGAAGGGAAACUUACGCUAAUACCGCAUACGACCUACGGGUGAAAGCAGGGGAUCUUCGGACCUUGCGCGAUUGAAUGAGCCGAUGUCGGAUUAGCUAGUUGGCGGGGUAAAGGCCCACCAAGGCGACGAUCCGUAGCUGGUCUGAGAGGAUGAUCAGCCACACUGGAACUGAGACACGGUCCAGACUCCUACGGGAGGCAGCAGUGGGGAAUAUUGGACAAUGGGCGCAAGCCUGAUCCAGCCAUACCGCGUGGGUGAAGAAGGCCUUCGGGUUGUAAAGCCCUUUUGUUGGGAAAGAAAAGCAGCAGGUUAAUACCCCGCUGUUCUGACGGUACCCAAAGAAUAAGCACCGGCUAACUUCGUG
rnacentral:rRNA from 1 species